UCUGGGGAGUCAGCACCCUGCUGAAUUGUAGUAAACGAGACGUCCAAUCUACUAGACUAGACCAUCAAAGAUGCAGAUUUGGAUUUUCUAUUUCAUAGUUAUUGAAAUCAUAAUGAGAAUGAAGUACUGCCACUAAGGUAAAGGUGCUAACUUGCAAGGAGCUGUUCUCAAAACAUUGGGUGACAAAGAAUUCACUUUUACAAAAAUCGAGCAGGAUAUUAAAGACAGCGAACUAUAGAACAAAUAUGGCGAAGCUGCAUGAAGUCUAUGUUGAAUUUUAUUAUUGAAAAAAAUAUGCUCUUCAGAUUUAAUGUUAGUUUUUAUUGUUUAACAGUAAUUGCAGUUUUCGAAUACCUGUAAAAUAAACCUAAUUCUUAAA